UCUCUUCCUCCCCCGUCCCCACGCUCCGCCUCCACCACCAUUCUUCCCCCUAGCCAGCUCCCCGCACGCCAACCCCAGCGCGCUGCUGCCCAUCCCCUCAUCCCUCACCCCACGCCCCAGAUUCGUCGCCUGGAUGCGCGAUAGGAGCAGUCACUAGCCCGGAUGUGUCGCCGGGAGCCUACCACCCCGGCAUCCUCCUCCGUGCAUUGAUGCAGUUCGUUGAGGGCGAGCCCUCGCAGUCUCCGGCAUGUGUCGUGCAGUGCGGUGCACGCAUUCGUGCAGUCUGGUGGCGGUGCCGAUGUAAGAAGUGCGGUGAGCAGUUUGUCGCCAAUCAACCCCCUCCUACUCCGUUCGAGCUCCUUGCCGUGAGCCGACCGUGGGCUCCUCAAUGGCGCCAGAGUGGACGGAUGAUGGGUCCAGGUUGGCGAUGGCUCCGGUUGCCCAGGGCGAGGGGGACCUCUCUACAGCUCACUGAACUUUGUUUUGCAGCUCACUGAAAGUUUGUUUGUAGCUCGCUUGCUCGUAUAGUGCAUGGGCAACGCCUCCGUGCAUUUCAAGCAAUCGCGUGCGUGCAGUACGGCGGAAACGCAAAGCAUUUGCAAUCUUGCUAUGUUAAUGCGUGCAGUUCAUUGCAUUAUACAAAAAGUGUAGUUGGGUUGUAUUUUGUGUGUGAUUGUAAUGUGGAGACACAAAAAGGACUAUUUGUGUGGAUUACUCAAUCUUUUCUUUUUAAAAGCAGUGCGCUUGAUCA